GUCCUCGUAGCACAACGGUGGUGCGUCCGGUUGCAGUUGGGGCAAUGCCUGGAAGGUUGUAGGUUCGAAUCCUGCCGAGAACU